GGGGGCGUAGUCUAGCUUGGUUAGGAUGGAGGCCUUGGGAGCCUCAGGCCUGGGUUCAAAUCCCAGCGCCCCCA
rnacentral:tRNA from 3 species